UACGUAGGGUCCGAGCGUUGUCCGGAAUUAUUGGGCGUAAAGAGCUCGUAGGCGGUUUGUCGCGUCUGCUGUGAAAUCCCGAGGCUCAACCUCGGGCCUGCAGUGGGUACGGGCAGACUGGAGUGCGGUAGGGGAGAAUGGAAUUCCUGGUGUAGCGGUGAAAUGCGCAGAUAUCAGGAGGAACACCGGUGGCGAGGGCGGAUCUCUGGGCCUUACCUGACGCUGAGGCGCGAAAGCUAGGGGAGCGAACAGG
rnacentral:rRNA from 1 species